GUGACGCCAGUCAGAGCCAGGCAGAUGUCAAUUACACAGGGCCUUCUCUGUCUUCCCGCCCCCUAGUGCCUGCACCUGCUCCCCAUUGGCUGAGCCCUGCUGAAGUCACCUAGCCAGGUGAUGUCAAUGAGAGCCAGGCAGCUGUCAAUUACACAGGGCCUUCUCUUCCCGCCCUCUAGCCCCUGCACCUGCUCCCCAUUGGCUGAACCCUGAUGAAGUCACCCAGCCAGGUGCUGUCAAUCAGAGCCAGGCAGAUGUCAAUUACACAGGGCCUUCUCUCUCUCUUCCCGCCCCCUAGCCCCUGCAUCUGCUCCCCAUUGGCUGAGCCCUGCUGAAGUCACCCAGCCAGGGUGAUGUCAAUCAGAGCCAGGCAGAUGUCAAUUACACAGGGCCUUCUCUGUCUUCCCGCCCCCUAGUGCCUGCACCUGCUCCCCAUUGGCUGAGCCCUGCUGAAGUCACCCAGCCAGGUGAUGUCAAUGAGAGCCAGGCAGCUGUCAAUUACACAGGGCCUUCUCUUCCCGCCCUCUAGCCCCUGCACCUGCUCCCCAUUGGCUGAACCCUGAUGAAGUCACCCAGCCAGGUGCUGUCAAUCAGAGCCAGGCAGAUGUCAAUUACACAGGGCCUUCUCUCUCUUCCCGCCCCCUAGCCCCUGCAUCUGCUCCCCAUUGGCUGAACCCUGAUGAAGUCACCCAGCCAGGUGAUGUCAAGCAGAGCCAGGCAGAUGUCAAUUACACAGGGCCUUCUCUCUCUCUCUCUCUUCCCGCCCCCUAGCCCCUGCACCUACUCCCUAUUGGCUGAGUCUAGCUGAAGUCACCCUGCUAUAGAGCCAGGCAGCUGUCAAUCACACAGGGCCCACCACAGCCCAGAGAUGGGUUGAGUGCGAAUCUGGCGAACCCUGUGAAUCACGUCAGCGCCUGCACAGUGGGAAGGGGUCCCCCCUGGCAAGUUGCUGCCAAGUUUCAACAGCGCUUAGAGGGGAAGCGGCAGAAGCAAUUCGGCUUCUCGAUGGGCUUGCCCCGGCGUGCACUUGCACGAAGCAUUGGCAGGAAGGAAGCUUACAAAUUCAUCUGGGGCCACCAGCUUCCGGGGAUCCGUGACGGGAUUUCACCAUGUUGGCUGGUGUCGAACUCCUGACCUCAAGUGAUCCACCCACCUCGGCCUCCUAAAGUGCUGGGAUUACAGAAUUGAAGGUCCCUGAUAAGACAUCUUUGAGGUCAGGCAUAAAUCAUCACUUCACAUCUUCACGGCAAUGCAACGAACACAAGUAUCUGUCUCCUUGGGUCUGUCUAACAAGGAGCAAAGCCUGGCCUCCCACCAGCAUCCAGGCAAUAGUGGAUUCCCUCUCCACAGAUGUCAAAAAAGAAACAGAUGCUCCCGCAGGUGAAAUGAGCUCUGGUCCACAAUGCAACACAGGCUGUGCAGAAAAUCAAAGAGGAACCAACCCAGAAGUAUCCCCCAGGACAAAUCAUUAAGGGGGAAAAGGCAAGUGGUACAACCCUUUAUUUUAUGAUUCUACUAGGAAAAAAAAUAGUGGUGUUCCUUAAAAUAUUGAGAUAACUGGCAGGUAGAAUGAACCAAAAACUAUUAACAGGGGUUCCCAGGAGAAUGGAGGACAGUUGAAACAGGGUGUGAGGUGGAGAGGCAUAAUUCGUUCUAGUGAUCCUGUCAUUCCAGCCUUUCCAAUGAUACUAUAUUGGUGAAUGCAUUGCCCAGAUAACAUUUAAAAAGGUUUUAAGUGGUUGGGCAUGG